UCCAUCUGAAAACAAUUGAGCAAUAUACUUUUCGAAUCAAAGUCCUUGUCGAGAAGCUUGCUGCCGCCUUUGUCGCUCUAGAAGAUGAAUAGGUUUUAGUUCAUACCUUAAAUGGACUUCUUGCAACCUUCAACACCUUUCGCACGUCAAUCCAAACUCGAAGUGGUACCAUCUCCCUUGAAGAACUUCACACCCUUCUCAUCUCUGAAGAAUUCACCAUAGCAAAAUCGUCCGCCAUCGAAGCCAUUCCUACCACCAUGGAAGCCGCACAAAAUUUCCAUCCUUCAUCCAAGGGUAGCCGCAGACGAGGAAGACGACACUGUAACCCUCAUUUUAGUUCUCAAAACCAGACAAAUUAUCGUGAACAUGGGUCGCAUGGAGGAACAUUUUUCAAUCAGCCCAACAUCUUAAAUCGACCCAAUUCUUCAUUCAGCCCAAACCGUCCAUCAUUCAAUUUCUCUUCUCACUGUGGGCUCAUUGGACCUUUCCCCACUCAUGGGCCCAUUUUUGGGCCUGAAACCAAUUCUAAUCAAGUUGGACGCAUAUUCUGUCAAAUUUGUAAAAAAUUCGGACAUGACACCCUCGAUUGCUACAACGUGGAUGUAACGUUCAUAUGAUAAAUGAGUUGACAAAUCUCAUCUUAUCCAAUCAUUAUAAUGGUGAGGAAACUAUCAUAGUGGAAAAUGGUCAACCUUUAAACAUUCGAAAUAUUGAUAGUGGAUAAAGUCACCGGCCGAACUUUGUAUACUGGUGAAAGCAUCAAUGAUCUCUACCUUAUUCCCAGUACUUCUCAUCUAUCCACAUAUACUAUGCAUUUCAAAAUUUUAAAUUUUCAUGCAAAUUAGGAGAAUUCAUCAUUAUGGCAUUUUCAUUUGGGUCAUCUUGCUCCAAGGAUUCUAAGUUCAAUUUUAUCUCGCUUUGGUCUAUCUAUAUCUUCUUCUCUUUCAACUUACAAUUGUAUUGGUUGUUUAAAAGCAAAAAUAACAAAAUUACCUUUUCCUAUGUCUUUGUCCACUUCUCUUACACCACCUGAACUUGUUCAUAGCGAUGUAUGGGGUCCUUCACCAAUUAUUUCUUCCAAUGGAAAUCGAUAUUAUGUUAGUUUCAUUGACAAUUUUAGCAAAUUGACUUGGCUCUUUCCUAUUGCUUAUAAAUCAAAUGUUCCAUCUAUUAUUUAAAAAUUUAUUCCCUUCAUUAAAAAUCAAAUAUCUCAAAAAUUAAAAGUUUUUAGAUUAGAUGGUGGUAGUGAAUUCUGCAACAAUUCCUUACAAUCCGUCUUCGAAUCCAAAGGUAUUUAUCAUAAAAAAUCAUGUCCUUAUAUACCUGAACAAAACGACAUUUUAGAACGUAAACAUCGUCAUAUUGUUGAAACUGCAAUGUCUUUAAUUUUUCAUUCCUCUUUUUCCCUUUAAUUUUGGCCUUAUGCCUUUUCUACUGCAAUUUUCCUUAUUAAUCACAUGCCCUCCCCUUACUUAAAAUGUUAUCACCGUUUGAAAUGCUUUUUGGUCAUACUCCUGAUUUGCACCAUUUAAAAGUUUUUGGAUGUGCAUAUUAUCCUCUCCUUAAACCCUACACCAAACAUAAACUUGAACCAAAAACCAUACAACACAUUUUCUUAGCCUAUCCUCACAAUUUUAAAGGCUAUAUUUGCUAUAAUCCAUCUACCAAACAAACCAUUGUUUCACGCCACGUUAUCUUUCAUGGAACAAUUUUCCCUUUUGCCCAAACCACUACUUCUCACUACAAGAAAUCGGGAGUUUUCCGACGCAAGAAAAAUCAUAGGAAAACACGACGAUUGUGUGCGUCGGGAGAGCCCAUUUUCUUGUAGUGUCUUCCUCAUCACAAAAUCAAUCCUUUUUUUAUCCCAGCUUACUACUCACCUUACUCAAUCUUCCACAUCCUACAUCCUCACACUUUAUCCCCAUACAAUCUCCUACUCCUAAUCCUCCCACUCCUGACAUUACUUACUCACCCUUUAUGGAUACUAAUGCCUCUUGUCAGUCUUUGCAUGUUUCACCUAUUGUUGAUACAGGAAAUAACAUAGAGGCUGUCACCACCAAUGCACCAGCUCCAAUUCCUCCUCAAAACACUCAUGCCAUGCAAACUCAAGCAAAGUCAGGAAUUUUUAAACCAAAGGCAUUCCAUAUGAUCACCACGACUCUUCCAACUCUAACAUCAGACACUGAAACUUCCAAGUAUCAUGAAUGGAGAGAUGCAAUGUGUGAAGAAUUCAAUGCUCUUCAAGCACAAGGUACUUGGUCUUUAGUCCCUCACCAUCAAUCCAUGAAUAUUGUUGGUUGUAAGCAGGUCUUUUGUACCAAAUAUAAUCAUGAUGGCUCAGUUGCUCGCCACAAAGCACGCCUAGUUGCCAAAGGGUAUCACUAGGUACAAGGUUUUGAUUUUGAUGAAACUUUUGUUAUGUUGUCAAAAGGCCUACUAUACGAAUUAUUCUUGCUCUAGCUGCUCAAUAAAAUUGGUCAUUGACACAGUUAGAUCUCAAAAAUGCCUCUCUUCAUGGUGUUCUCCAGGAAACAGUAUAUAUCUCUCAACCUACUUGUUUUCAUGACAAAAAUUUCCAAACCAUGUGUGUCUUCUACACAAGAGCCUUUAUGGCCUCAAACAAGCCCCUCGUGCUUGGUUGAAUGCUUUACCUCUUAUUUAUUUACUUUGGGUUCUGUUGCUUCAAAGAUUGAUCCAUCUUUAUUCAUUUGA